GGCGGACGGGUUAGUAACGCGUGGGAACGUACCCAGAUCUAAGGAAUAGCCACUGGAAACGGUGAGUAAUACCUUAUACGCCCUUCGGGGGAAAGAUUUAUCGGAUUUGGAUCGGCCCGCGUUAGAUUAGGUAGUUGGUGGGGUAAUGGCCUACCAAGCCUACGAUCUAUAGCUGGUUUUAGAGGAUGAUCAGCAACACUGGGACUGAGACACGGCCCAGGCUCCUACGGGAGGCAGCAGUGGGGAAUCUUAGACAAUGGGCGCAAGCCUGAUCUAGCCAUGCCGCGUGAGUGAUGAAGGCCUUAGGGUCGUAAAGCUCUUUCGCCUGUGAUGAUAAUGACAGUAGCAGGUAAAGAAACCCCGGCUAACUCCGUGCCAGCAGCCGCGGUAAUACGGAGGGGGUUAGCGUUGUUCGGAAUUACUGGGCGUAAAGCGCAC
rnacentral:rRNA from 1 species